rfam:Gossypium hirsutum cultivar TM-1 chromosome 20, whole genome shotgun sequence
AGUCCAUGGUGUGGGAACUUCCUUAGCAUUUUCCUAAAUUGUUCCCACGCCUCAUAUAUUUAUUCACCAUUAUAUUGUUUAAAAUUGGCGAUUUCUUGCCUGAGCU